UUCCACAAUCUGUCAGCUGAGUGUAGCUCUCCUCUCUGGGUAGAGGAGCAGCCGGAUUGUGGAGGGUGGGAGCCAAGUCUGUGGGAAGGUCUGUCUUUCCUGAGGCUUGUGAGUCUGAGCUUGGAAAGAAUCACAAGCAUGAAAGAGGCUCUGCCGAAUGGAGACCACUGAAAUUCAAGUUCAGCAGCCCCUGAAAAGUCAAGAGGAGGGAAAUACAUGCCUCCAGCCAUACCUGAAAGGGUGAAGCUGGUAAAGGAACUCUCAUAAAAUGUGUGAAGGACCAGAGAAGUUGGGAAGAGAGAGAAUAUGUUGAAUGAGAGGGUCAGGAUCCUAGAAGAUGCCAGAAGCUUGGAAUUCUGGAACAAAUAUAAGGAGAAGAUGUUUUAAAAGCUAAAGUUAUAUCCUUGGAUUCACAAAGCAGCUGAACAAACAGAGUCAGGGAAUCAAGGCUGCACAAGUCACAAUGAGAACCCUAUAGGGGAAGCGUGUCUAAAUGGAUAAAAGCUCAUACAAGAAACAAUGACACAAUCUUGAGCUGUAUUGGGAGAAGAUGAAGGUCCUAAUCUGCUAUCCUGCUUGGAUCACACAAUGCUUGAAAAGCAUUCAGUUUUAGAGGGGAUCACGAUUUAAGAAAGUCAUAGUUACCAAAUAUAGACUCUGGAGCUAGACUGUCCUGGUUCAUGUUCUGGCCCAGUCUCCUGCUGGCUGUGCAACUUUGGGCAAAGUACUUAACCUCUCUGUACGUUGGUUGCUUCAUCUGUAAUGACAACGCCAUGACUUGCUAUAAAGUAAAAAUGAGUUAAUGUA